GGGGGAUUAAUCUGGUUAUCAGGCCAGGUUGCUAUGGCGAUCCAGCAGCUGUGCUAGCGGAGCUUUUACUUUCCAGAGACUAAAUGGAUAAUUUUUAUUUUAUUUAUUUAACCAAGUAGGCAAGGUUAAGAAAAAGUUCUCAUUUACAACUGUGACCUGGCAAAGAUGAAGCAAAGCAUUACGACAAAAACAACAGGAGUUAUACAAACGUACAGUCAAUAACACAAUAGAGCAAUCUAUGCAGUGUGUGCAAAUAUAGAAGAGUAAGGAGUCAUUGGCGGCAGAGAACUGGAAGGAAAGGCGGCCAAAGUAAGUGUUGGCUUUGGGGAUGACCAGUGAAAUAUACCUGCUGGAGCGCGUGCUACAGGAAAACGACACGGCACUAUCUGAUGUGUGGAGACAUUUCAAAGCAGCUAAUGUAGAAGGAAAGCUGUGCACAUUCACAAAUACUGUGCCAAAUCAUAUGUGAAGAAUGCAACAAAGAUGGAGAAUCAUCAGGCCAAGUGCAUAAAGUUCCCUCAGCGCUCACAACAAGCAACCUCUGACAAAAGUCUCUCUACUUCUAUUCGAGGUGAAAAUUAUGAAUCAGACACCUUAUCGAUAGCAAUAGCUCAUGGUCCUCCUGUAAUCAGAAGUUGUUUUUGACCCAAUGGAGGAAAGUAGUCAGAAAUGCUGAUGAAUGUCAUGCUAGAGCUGUGUUUGCAAUUUGUUCACCUCUGAUGCUUACAGGCAAUGUGUAUUGGAAGAGAUUUCUGAACGUUCUUCACCUAGCAUACACCCCUCCAACCAGACAUGCUUUAUCUACUAAUUUGCUGGAUGCACAGUUCAAGUGAAGGUCAAGCAAAUCAUAGAGAAAGCAGACUAUUGCAAUCAUCUUUGAUGGGUGGUCAAAUGUCCGUGGGCAAGGAAUAAUUAACUACAUCAUCUCCACCCCUCAACCAGUAUUCUACAAGAGAACAGACACAGCGGUCUAUACAUUGCAGAUGCGCCGAAGGCAGUCAUCAUUGACCUUGGACCACAGAAGGUAUUUGCACUGGUGACAGAAUGCUGCCUGGUCAUGAAGGCUGCUUGGUCAUGUCACACCCAUUGGCUGUGCUGCUCAUGCAUUGAAUAUGCUCCUCAAGGACUUCAUGGCACUGAAAACAAUGGAUACACUCUACAAGAGAGCCAAGGAAAUGGUUAGGUAAGUGAAGGGUCAUCAAGUUAUCAGAAAUCUACCUUUCCAAGCAAAGUGAAAAGAAUAAGCACACCACAUUGAAGCUGCCCAGCAACACCCGUUGGGUGGUGUUGUCAUUUUGACAGUCUCCUGGAGGGGAAGGAGUCUCUCCAAGAAAUGGCCAUAUCCCAGUCUGCUGAUAUGGACAGCUCCAUCAAGAGGAUCCUCCUGGAUGAUGCAUUUUGGGAGAGAGAGGUAAGCAGCCUGAAACCUUUAGCAUUUGCCAUUGUACAGAUUAAGAGAGACAAUGCCAUCCUGUCUGAUGUUCAGACUCAUCUUGCAGAGAUGUAAGAGAAGAAAUCCCUACAAACCUGACUCGGAUACACCAGCUCUGUCAGGAGGAAUGGGCCAGAAUUCACCCAACUUAUUGUAGGAAGCUUGUGGAAGGCUACCCAAAACGUUUGACGCAAGUUAAACAAUUUAAAGGCAAUGCUACCAAAUACUCAAUUAGUAUAUGCCAUCUUCUGACCCACUAGGGAAUGUGAUGAAAUAAAUAAAUGCUGACAUAAGUAAUUCUCUCUGCUAUUAUUCUGACAUUUCACAUACUUAAAAUAAAGUGCUGAUCCCAACUGACCUACUGAGUUUUACUAGGAUUAAAUGUCAUGAAUUGUGAAAAACGAUUAAAUGUAUUUGGCUAAGGUGUAUGUAAACCUCUGACUUCAACUAUAUAUAAUAAACGUUGUAAAAAUGUACUAAUUGGUUGAAAGAAAAGACUCAUGGUUGACCAAGAUCAUUUUGUGUGUGUGUUAUGGAACAGCCCUAAAAAUGUAGGUUAUAUGAUAAUGCAAUGGCAAAUUACCUGUUAUCUUUCCAUUUCCCAUGACCUGUAAAUUCCCACCAAUCAGUGUUGUCCAGGUGGGAAGCUCUUUCUCAGCCUUGGUAUCACUGACUACAUUCUUGUGAUAAGCACUAACUAGUGUUGCAUGGUAUUCUGAAACUGUUACUUUUUUUAUACUAGAACAUGAAAAAUGUUUCUGUACUAGAAUUUGUAACUUUCGGUUAGUUUGGCAUAUCCGGAUGUCCAUACCUUCAUACCGUGCCUGUGCCAUCCUGGGAUAUACGAUGUUACCCGUAGUGCACACAAGGGGCACUAUUUUAUUUUUUCAAACGUAAAGGUGGCCCUAAAAACCAUGUGUAACAUGUGUAAAACUCACUCUGUUUUGAGUACUUUUUGUGGCCUCCUUGUAGUGUUGCAUAUUUUGGGGAAUAUUCAGAGGUGGAAACUUUCUGUGGGAAUUAAUUUGUAAGUCGCUCUGGAUAAGAGCGUCUGCUAAAUGACUUAAAUGUAAAUGUAAAUUAAUGGAAAUAUAUGCAAAUUCAUAUUAAUACCAUUUUAACUGUAGUUUUUUUUGCAUUAUCAUAUGGAGACUAAAACAAACUGUUUACCGUCUAAUAAGUAGACAUAAUUGCAAAUGAUUCAAUCCAUCCAAUAGAAUAAAAAUAAAUGUGGUUAUGAAUUGAACUUUUAUUUGAGUCGACUCUUCACAUGGAAUGAUUUCACUGAACAACAAAAGAAAGGGAAUGUUGAAUGAUCCAUCGCAUCUCCCAAAAAUGUUUUUCUACAUACAUCAGUAAAAUGAUAGUCUAGAAACUAAAGCUUUGGUUGUCUUCCUCUCAGGCUUCCAUGUCUUCUCCCUGGACAUCCUCAAUGUCCACCUCUUGAACAUCAGACUCUGAGGCCUCCUUGCUCGCACACACCUUUUCAGUUCUGCCCACAAAUGUUCUAUAGGAUUGAAGUCAGGGCUUUGUGACGGCCACUCCCAAUACCUUGACUUUGUUGUCCUUCAGCCAUUUAGCCGCAACCUUAGGAAGUAUGCUUGGGGUCAUUGUCCAUUUGGAAGAUCCAUUUUCACCCAGCUUUAACUUUUUGACUGAUGUCUUGAGAUGUUGCUUCAAUAUAUCCACAUAAUUGUCCACCCUCAUGAUGCCAUCUAUUUUGUGAAGUGCACCAGUCCCUCCUGCAGCAAAGCACCCCCACAACAUGAUGCGGCCACCCCCGUGCUUCACGGUUGGGAUGGUGUCCUUCGGCUUGCAAGCCUCCCCCUUUUCCUCAAAACAUAACGAUGGUCAUUAUGGCCAUACAGUUCUAUUUUUGUUUCAUCAGACCAGAGGACAUUUCUCGAAAAAGUACAAUAUUUGUCCCCAUGUGCAGUUGCAAACCGUAAUCUGGCUUUAUGGGGGUUUUGGGGCUGUGGCUUCUUCCUUGCUGAGAGGCAUUUCAGGUUAUGUCGAUAUAGGGCUCUUUUUAGGAUACUUUUGUACCCGUUUCCUCCUGCAUCUUCACAAGGUCCUUUGCUGUUGUUUUGGGAUUGAU